GGGCGCCCAGGAGGGUGAGAGCCCCGUGGGAUGCCGGCGGAAGCAGUGAGGCCCUUCUGACGAGUCGAGUUGUUUGGGAAUGCAGCUCCAAGCGGGUGGUAAAUUCCAUCUAAGGCUAAAUACUGGCGAGAGACCGAUAGCGAACAAGUACUGUGAAGGAAAGAUGAAAAGCACUUUGAAAAGAGAGUGAAACAGCACGUGAAAUUGUUGAAAGGGAAGGGUAUUGCGCCCGACAUGGGGAUUGCGCACCGCUGCCUCUCGUGGGCGGCGCUCUGGGCUUUCCCUGGGCCAGCAUCGGUUCUUGCUGCAGGAGAAGGGGUUCUGGAACGUGGCUCUUCGGAGUGUUAUAGCCAGGGCCAGAUGCUGCGUGCGGGGACCGAGGACUGCGGCCGUGUAGGUCACGGAUGCUGGCAGAACGGCGCAACACCGCCCG
rnacentral:rRNA from 1 species